CCCUUAGAUGUUCUGGGCCGCACGCGCGCUACACUGAUGCAUUCAACGAGUCUAAAACCUGCUCUGAUAGGGGUGGGUAAUCUUUUGAAUGUGCAUCGUGAUUGGGAUAGAUGAUUGCAAUUUUUCAUCUUCAACGAGGAAUGCCUAGUAAACGCAAGUCAUCAGCUUGCAUUGAUUACGUCCCUGCCCUUUGUACACACCGCCCGUCGCUCCUACCGAUUGAAUGAUCCGAUGAAUUUCAUGGAUUGAGGAUGUAAGCAGGUUCGCCUGUCUUCAUCUUCGAGAAGUGAAGUAAAUCUUAUCAUUUAGAGGAAGGAGAAGUCGUAACA
rnacentral:rRNA from 1 species